AUACGUAGGGAGCGAGCGUUAUCCGGAAUUAUUGGGCGUAAAGAGUGAGCAGGCGGUUAAUUAAGUCUGAGGUUAAAGCGUGGGGCUCAACCCCAUAAAGCCUUGGAAACUGAUUGACUAGAGUACGGGAGAAGUGAAGGGAACUCCAUGUGUAGCGGUGAAAUGCGUAGAUAUAUGGAAGAACACCAGUGGCGAAGGCGCUUCACUAGCCCGAAACUGACGCUCAGUCACGAAAGCGUGGGUAGCAAAUAGGAUUAGAUACCCUAGUAGUCCACGCUGUAAACGAUGACAACUAAAUAUUGCCGCGAGGCAGUGUUGAAGCUAACGCAUUAAGUUGUCCGCCUGGGGAGUACGGUCGCAAGACUGAAACUUAAAGGAAUUGACGGGG
rnacentral:rRNA from 1 species